UGUAGACCUGUUUUUCUUCCCCAUUCUGAAAGCUGCUCACUAUUACGUGCUGUGUGUCAACAUGCGGAAGCGCAGGUUUGAAAUCAUUGACAACUCCCCGGUAGCUGGUAAAAACGAGGAUAGAUAUGGCUCCAUUCCACAAGAAUUGCUCGAUAUGCUAUCAGCAUAUCUUCAUAACAAAGGGCAGGGUUUACGGUCAGCUUUUGUUGACAACAUGAAGGCUAUAAGGAUGCAGAUGCC